AUGGCGGCGUCCGCUCCGAACUGGACCACCCUCCUGCCGGAUCUGCUGGGCCAGGUGAUCGCGCGCCUCCCGCACAUCGCCGACCGCGCCCGUCUUCGCGCCGUGUGCCACUCGUGGCGCUCGGCCGUGCGGCAGCACGUCUCCCCUCGGCGGCGGCUCCCUUGGAUCGUCCUCGAGGAAGGCCACUACCUGACGCCCUCCGACGGUGCCGUCCACCGCCUCCCCUUCCCCAACAACACCAGAUGCGUCGGAUCCACCAACGAGUGGAUCGCCCUCGACUCCACGGACGACGUUACGCGGGCGCACAGGUACGCGCUGCACAACCACUUCUCCGGCGCCACCGUGCCGCUGCCGGAGCUGGACUCCGUCAUCGGCGAGGUUCCGGACGAGUUCGAGAUCCGUAAGGUGCUCAUGAGGUCGACCCCCGAUGACCUUGUUGCUGUCACUGGAAACAUCUGGAAGUACCCUCUGAUCCUGUGCCGACCCGGGAAGGGAGUGUGGGUGCCAAGGCUAUUGGCCAUGAUGUACCGUCGUAUCAGUGACAUUGCAUUCUUCCAAGACGAGCUCUACGUGGUCACCAAGGCCGAUGAUCUCUUUGCCCUCCGUCUUGCCGAGGACAAGGAUUGCAAGCCCAUCGUCACCGGUGUCAAACGAAUCAUCAACCAUGCCCCCGGCCAUGAGGACGAUAUGUACGACGAAGCCGACAUGUGGAAGAGGUUGACUGAUGACAUCGGUUCAUCGAGUGACGACGAACACACUGAGAAAGACUGCGAGGCAUCAUCUGAACAUGGCAACUAUGACACGUUGAUUCAAGAAGACGCUCAUUAUGAAUUGGCUGGUGAAGAUGGUGACAACCAACACUUGGCUUUCAGUGAAGAGGAUACAUUUUCUGAAUGUGAAGAGGGGGUGAAAGAAGGGUGCGACGCCGUCCACACCAGCAGGCACCUUAUCAAGUCACAAGGUAAACUGCUCAUGGUUAAGCGAGAGCGGCUGAUUGCAGCAUCCACUCCAACCGACCACACUCGCAAGAUCGAGGUGUUUGAGGCGGAUAUGGUCACAGGGACAUGGGUACCACUCAACGGUGGGCUAGGCAGCGGCCAGGCGAUCUUCAUCAGCAAUCGCUUUAGCGGUACCUUUUCUGCCCGCGGAGAAGUGGAAGAGGAUGCCAUGUAUUUUCCUGAUACAAAUGACGUGUUUGACAUGAGAUCCGCCACUAUCAGGCCGAUAGUCCCCAUGGAUUUGUUAGAUGACAGAUGGAGGGCGUGGGUUUUUCCACCGGACCUAGUUGCUUAA
rnacentral:rRNA from 1 species